GACGAACGCUGGCGGCGUGCCUAAUACAUGCAAGUCGAGCGAACAGACUCUGCUCUUGCUCGUCUGACGUUAGCGGCGGACGUGUGAGUAACACGUGGAUCACCUACCUAUCUGACUGAGAUAACUUCGUAACACCGGCGCUAAUACCGUAGAAUAUAUUGAUCCGCAUGGUUGAAUAGUGAGUUACGGUUGUUCUGUCACUUCUAGAUGGAUCCGCGCCGCUUUAGCUAGUUGGUAAGUUAACAGCUUACCAAGGCGACCAUGCGUAGCCGAACGGAGAGGGUGGUAGGCCACACGGGAAGGGAGACAGGGUCAAGACAACUGAGGGACGCAGCAGACGGGAAUCUUACGCAAUGGGGGAAAGCAUGACAGAGUAAAGCGGAGUGAGUGAUGAAGGUGCUAGGAUCGGAAAAAUGUGUUACUAGGGGAAAACCAAUGUCGAAGUAAAUAUGAAGGUAUUGACGGUACCUGAUAAAAAAGCCACGGCUAACUACGUG
rnacentral:rRNA from 1 species